rnacentral:rRNA from 1 species
UACGUAGGGUGCGAGCGUUGUCCGGAUUUAUUGGGCGUAAAGAGCUCGUAGGCGGUUUGUCGCGUCGGCCGUGAAAUCUCCACGCUUAACGUGGAGCGUGCGGUCGAUACGGGCAGACUUGAGUUCGGUAGGGGAGACUGGAAUUCCUGGUGUAGCGGUGAAAUGCGCAGAUAUCAGGAGGAACACCGGUGGCGAAGGCGGCAUCCUGGACCGGCAUUGACGCUGAGGCGCGAAAGCCAGGGGAGCAAACGG